rnacentral:tRNA from 1 species
GCGGCGGUGGCGGAACGGCAGACGCGCUAGGUUCAGGACCUAGUGGGGGCAACCCCGUGGAGGUUCAAAUCCUCUUCGCCGCACCA